rnacentral:tRNA from 1 species
GCGGGUACAGCUCAGUGGUAGAGCGUGUUCUCAACAUGCACAAGGUCCUGGGUUCAAUCCCCAGUGCCCCCA